AUUGAACGCUGGCGGCAUGCCUUACACAUGCAAGUCGAACGGCAGCACGGGAGCAAUCCUGGUGGCGAGUGGCGAACGGGUGAGUAAUAUAUCGGAACGUGCCCAGUCGUGGGGAUAACGUAGCGAAAGUUACGCUAAUACCGCAUACGAUCUAAGGAUGAAAGCGGGGGAUCGCAAGACCUCGCGCGAUUGGAGCGGCCGAUAUCAGAUUAGGUAGUUGGUGAGGUAAAGGCUCACCAAGCCAACGAUCUGUAGCUGGUCUGAGAGGACGACCAGCCACACUGGAACUGAGACACGGUCCAGACUCCUACGGGAGGCAGCAGUGGGAAUUUUUGGACAAAUGGGCGCAAGCCUGAUCCAGCAAUGCCGCGUGCAGGAUGAAGGCCUUCGGUU
rnacentral:rRNA from 1 species